CUUCGAAUAUGAGUCGAGGGAGUAUCAAGAGUCAAAGGAUGAUUUCUUUAUCUACAAUGUUAUCUCUCCUUCUAAUCCUCUUUGUGGUUCAUCUUCACGUGUGUUUACUUCUAUUUGUCAACCCAUCACUGAAGUCUAUGAUCGACGACAACCUUCUUCAAUUCCAUGCCCUACCCCUAAGGCUUCUUCGUCAUUGGAUCCAGAAAUGAGUGAUGAUCUUCCUAUUGCUCUUCGUAAAGCAAGGAGCAGCUGGCAAACAAAUUUCUUUAUGCCAUAAAUGCGGAUGCUGGUUUUGAUCUAAGCUAAUGGAUGUUGUUGUUUUACCCUUCUUCUUGUUGAUAUACCUUUCGUAACAUCCUUUCAUCCCUAAUCUCAUCCUCGACCACAACCACUGCUUUGACCACGAUCGUCUCUCCGAAGAUUUGUGAGACAGUUCCAUUAGGUUAUGGGCACUAAGUGGUGAAACAUUGAUGGAGAUGGUUGGUGACACUUCCAUUGUGUAUUCAGUGGAUUCACAUGCUUCCGAAGUCAUUGUUAGUGGGAGUGAAGAUUGUUCGGCAAAGAUAUGGAAAGGUUAAUACUUCAAUCUAUAGGAGUUCGUCAGUUUUUGUUAUUCCUUUCUUCUUCUUCUAGCGUGGAGUUAUAGACCACUAUAUCGUCCAGAUAGACCACCACAAACUUGUUAAGGUAUUCAUGGAAGACCUGGUUCAUUAGCGUACAGAACGUUGCAGGCGCAUUGGUAAGACCAAAUGGCAUGACAAGGAACUCGA